UUCACCGCUUCACUCUCUUCCUUCCCAAACACACUUUCACAUUCAAACCCAACAAAUCCGCCAUUUACUAUUAUUUGUACUGCUGCUACUUAGUACUCCACUACUUAUAUUAUUCCCUCACUCCUCGGAAUCUCUUCAGUUUCCCGCUACUCUUUCUCUCUCUAAAUAUCUAAAUCUUAAACCCUAAUUCACUGUAAACGGUCCGUUUCAUUCAAUUCUACUUCGCUUUAUCCUUCUCUCUCUGCCUUUAGUGUGAGGAUAUCUUUUGGCUGCAAGAUCAUGAUACAAGUUAAGGAGGAAUCUCAGACUCUGGACUUUGGUGGAUUUGCUUCUUGUUCAUCUUUCUCUGAUAGCAGUUACGAGGCUAGCACUCCGAGAUACUCCUCCGAACCUGGUUCUAGUUAUCGAAGGAGCUCAGGUCCAACUAAACGUUCUUCCCAGGCAGGCUGGACGGAAGAAGAGGAUAAUCUGUUGACUGAAGUGGUGAAAAGGUUCAAAGGGAGAAACUGGAAAAAAAUAGCUGAGUGCAUGAAUGGAAGGACUGAUGUGCAGUGCUUGCAUCGCUGGCAGAAAGUUCUGAAUCCAGAGCUUGUAAAGGGUCCUUGGUCAAAGGAGGAGGAUGACCUGAUUAUUGAGUUAGUUGAGAAAUAUGGCUGUAAGAAGUGGUCUUUUAUUGCUAAGUCUUUGCCUGGUCGCAUUGGCAAGCAAUGUCGGGAAAGGUGGCACAACCAUCUUGACCCAACCAUAAAAAGAGAUGCUUGGACUGAACAGGAAGAAUCAGUCCUAUGCCACUAUCACCAAAUAUAUGGGAACAAGUGGGCAGAAAUUGCGAGGUUUCUGCCUGGAAGGACUGAUAAUGCAAUUAAAAAUCAUUGGAAUUCCUCAGUAAAGAAAAGAUCAAACUUGAAUUUGCCAAGUAGGUUAGUGCUGGAUACCGAAAGUGAGGGAUCUCCUAAUUUCUCUAGUGACAAGAAAAAACUAGAGAUCAAGAAGCAUCCAUUACAAGCUCAAAAUGCAGAACAAACAAUCUUUUUAGGCGAGCAGACAGGAUUGGAUAAUGCUGCUGUUGCUUUGUCAACUGAUCUGAGAAUUGGAUAUGCUUAUUCUGCUGGAAAUGCUUUGCAUAAGGAUACUUCUUUAUUUGGAGCCUGUAUAUCAGCAGAAGAAAAUGUGAGGGAUCUGAUAAAGCCACUUGGUGGAAUACAAUUUGGCAAGGCAGAUGUUCUUCCGAUUGGUGAGACAGAUAAACCAUGCCAAUCCAAUUUAAGUCGCACUAAAAUAUCAUAUCCACUCUCAGCCUCUUCUUCAGAUCUUCAUUUGGAUCAGUUGCACCACACAAGAUGGAGUACUUCUCAAGUUGAGGCUGUUCAUCCUACUACUUUUGGGAGCAUGUAUGAAUCUCCCAAAAGGUCUAGGCACGACACUGUUAAUGAUCCUGACCAUGAUUUUUUGAGUUUGUCAUUGGCUAGCUUUACCGAGGUUCAUUCCCAAAGUAACAAGAAGAAUAAAGCAUAUGACACACAAUCUUCUUUGGGUCUCAAGCAGCAGGGCUCCUUGUAUUAUGAACCACCACAGUUAAAGGACUUGCUGAUUCCUUUAACAGAUGAAAACCUUAGUAGAGACAACCUUAUCAGGCAAAAAAAUGGUCAUCCAUUUUGCUCUACACCUCCUAGUCUUAAAUUAACAGUCUCUGCUAAUGGUAGUAGUCCAGAAUCUGUCUUAAGGAAUUCCGCAAUGAGUUACACAGGGACUCCUUCAAUCAUAAGAAAGAAGAAUUCCAGAUUUCCCGAAGCUGCAACGCAUUCUAGUUGCACAGGCACCACCACUCCCACACAUAAUUUCCCAAGAGCUUCUGACAGGGAAGACACCUCAAACCUGAAGGACAGAUUUUCUGGAUGUAAAUCAUCAGUUUCGGGAAAAUCUCUUGGAAGACGGUUGGAAUAUGCCUUUGAUAUGGAAUGGGAUGCCUCUAGAUGUUGCACACCAGUUUCUGCAGCUUCACCCUGUGCACUUAGACUUGGUGCUAAUACGAUGCUGACACCAUAAAAAAGGAUUAAUUCUGAGGAUCAGUCUGGAGAGGCUUUUGUUGUAGCAUCACAAGCUGUCAGAUCAUAUGAUCUGAUGGAUCGAUCGGCUACUUCUUCAAGGUCAAAUCUUUGAGGAAAGAAAAUGUCAAUGAAACAAUGACAUGCUGAGCCACUUUGAGAAGGCCAAGUUAAAGCUGAAGAAUUAGUUUGAAAUGGAAGUUGUAAUUUUGGCAGUCACAAAAACUUGUGAGCUUAUGGGACUAAUGAGAAAAUAUGGCAAAAAGCUAUAAACUACAUGAGCAUGGAAAUUUGUUGGAUAACUCUUGUUUUGGGAGUUGUCCCUAAUUCUAUAUGGAUGUAAUAUUAUAAUUUGAUUUUUCCCUGCCCUACUUCAGAAAUUUAGCGAAGGAAGGAUUUGUAAAUAUGCAUUUAAAUCAAUUGCCUUUAGUUC